GAAUGCGAUAAGUAGUGUGAAUUGCAGAAUUCAGUGAAUCAUCGAAUCUUUGAACGCACAUUGCGCCCCUUGGUAUUCCAUGGGGCAUGCCUGUUCGAGCGUCAUUUGUACCCUCAAGCUCUGCUUGGUGUUGGGUGUUUGUCCCGUCUCCGCGCGUGGACUCGCCCCAAAGUGAUUGGCAGCCGGCGUACUGGUCCCGGAGCGCAGCACAUGUCGCGCAAACGAGUGCCUUGGUACGGCGGCGUCCAUAAGCCCCUCUCUCACGCUCUUGACCUCGGAUCAGGUAGGGAUACCCGCUGAACUUAAGC
rnacentral:misc_RNA from 1 species